ensembl:lncRNA
CUGGAUUAGCUUCUGGAUUAGCUGCUGGAUUAGCUCUUCGAUUAACAACUUGCUGGAGGCUAUUCAAAUGAGCCACACCGUGGGAUGUAAGGAGCUCUCUGAUUGGUCAGAGAGCUGCCCGCUUUAUUCACUGUUACGCGCACACUUUAGGCGCCACAGUGGAGAAGAAGAAAGGUAGUGUGUAAACAGAUAUGACGGAAGAAACCUGUAGAAACGAUCGAUGGAGAAGUACAAUAGAGGAUCUAAUUUUAUUAGCUGACUAUGUAGAAGGCACUGUUUCUGUUGAUUUUAACUAUGCUUUGACCACACUACUCCAGCUAAGAGCAAAUGCUGAAGUCUUGAGCCACCACUUUGAGGACAGUGUUUGGGCUAAGUUUGAUGAGGUGGAGCAUUUAAUACGGGAAAAUUGUUAUACUCUUCCGCUAUUUGACAUAGAAAGAAAACAGUUACAGAGGCAACUCUCCCUCGGAAUCCCGCACAAGGAUAUAUCGAAACAUUUGGGUGUGUCUUUAAAAACUGUUCAGCGCAGGAUUGCCUGUUGGGGACUGAGACGCAAGGACUUGGACAACAGUGUCAGUGAUGAAGACUUGGAUGUUAUUGUCUCUGAUAUUCAUCACCACCAUCCCAACACUGGAUAUAAGAUGAUACUGGGUCACUUAAGAUCAAGAAAAAUCUUGGUUACAAGGAGAAGAGUGUUGGCAUCAUUAAGACGUGUGGAUCCCCAGGGAAUACAGAUGCGCAGGUUCUCACUGCAAACCACACGGCGACGGCGUUACAUUUUGUUCCUGCUCCAAACAGCAUGUGGCAUAUUGACGGCAACCAUAAGCUUAUAAGAUGGAGAGUUGUUGUGCAUGGUGGCAUUGAUGGAUUUUCCAGACUCAUUGUUUACCUCACUGCUACAAACAACAACAGAGCCCAAACUGUCCUGGAG